rnacentral:rRNA from 1 species
CCUACGGGUGGCAGCAGUGAGGAAUAUUGGUCAAUGGACGAGAGUCUGAUCCAGCCAAGUAGCGUGAAGGAUGACUGCCCUAUGGGUUGUAAAUUUCUUUUAUAAAGGAAUAAAACGAGGCACGUGUGCCUUUUUGCAUGUACUUUAUGAAUAAGGAUCGGCUAACUCCGUGCCAGAAGCCGCGGUAAUACGGAGGAUCCGAGCGUUAUCCGGAUUUAGUGGGUUUAAAGUGCGCGUAGAUGGGUUGUUAAGUCAGUUGUGAAAGUUUGCGGCUCAACCGUAAAAUUGCAAUUGAUACUGGCAGUCUUGAGUACAGUAGAGGUAGGUGGAAUUCGUGGUGUAGCGGUGAAAUGCUUAGAUAUCACGAAGAACCCCGAUGGCGAAGGCAGCUUACUAAACUGUGACUGACAUUGAGGCUCGAAAGUGUGGGUAUCAAACAGGAUUAGAUACCCUUGUAGUC